ACUACACUUUACACAGUAACUCGCCAUACCGUUAGAAACCAAGCAGACCCGACACGGAAGUCAUUGGAUGGAUUUGGAAGGAAGGAGUGAGGGCGGGAAUAAAAAGCCUAUGAUGACGGGACUUACGUGCUGAAUAAGGCUUAAAGGGUCAAACGAAGCUCCUGCACAUUUCCCAGAAAUGUCAGCGAAGCUCUCAGGUGCCAGCCGCGUGGAGAUGGCGGCAUUGCGUCCUUCACUGGUUACCCGGGGCCUUUCCAGCAGAGUUGGAUAGCUGGAGUGGAAUGCUGCCUGCUCACCUCGCUGCUCCCUGACCUCAGAGACAAGGAUCCCUGAGGACACUUUUAUCGAGCCGAGAAGGACCAAACUCAGUAUUUCACGCGCCUGUUUCCGAGUUUAUCUUUCCUUAAUCUCAAUUGUCCCAGAUCCAGGGUUCUGAGACAAGGAUCUGUGCUUGCGAUUCUUGUCAAUACAACCUGGUUUCCUUAAAACAACCUCCAGAACUGCUCUGGAUUUAAACUGAGACAGGACUGCGAGAGAGUAGUCGGCAGAAUUAAUGUGCUAAUGAGGUACUAACACAGCUUGGCUCAGGAUUAACACAUUCA